rnacentral:lncRNA from 1 species
GGUGUUCAUUUUCUGGGACAGUACUGGUCUGUGGGCCAUAUGGCAUGAAGGGCAAACCUCAAGAUGAGCGAACACUGUAAUGAUGUUUUUCACAGGAACUUUCACAACCGAAACAGGAGAAGAUCAGAUAUGGAUCCUGGUACCUUGACCCAAAAAUGUGGAGAAAAUGGAAAGGGAGUGAACCCUUAAAAGCUCUGGAAACUGCAGGCAAUAGCCUUGGGAAUGGAAAACAUCAGUUUGAAAAGAUGGAAAUUGCACAGCUCCACAGUACACUUGCCUUUAAUGAAUUCCUGGAAAGAAAGGGAUACCGAAAACCUCAGUUCCUUCUGAAAAUGCUGGCUGGGAGAAAUGAUAGUGGAGCUCAAGAGGAAACAUCCAAAGCUUGCAAGUUACCUUGUCCAAAAAGGCAUGACAAAACUGGAGGAGAUUCUUCCAGAAUUGUUGAAUAGUAGAAAUCUCUACAUUCUCUUACAAUGAAUAGGUGAUGGUAGCUGAGCUGCUUCUAGGAGAAUAAUCUCAUGUUAGAGCAAACUUGAAGAUAGCUUGCAGCUUCUUUUGCAAAAACGGCCAGAUAAAGUUUGGAGGUCAGACAUGGACUACCAAAUUCCAGGCUCAAAUCACUUUUCCAGCUUAGUAGCGCUUGGGUCUGGCUUGAAGACACUGAAGACUUCAGCUGUGCUGUAGUGCGCUGUUCCAGUCAAAGAGCCUCGUCCACAGUUACCUUAUUGCUUUAUAAAUAUCCACAACAGGCUUGCUGCUUUACAGAAUGAUUAAGCAUCCCUUUCUCUGAAUUCUGAAAGGACAAGAUGGUUGCAAUUUAUAUACCUAGAGAAAAAUUGAAACCUGUCUGAGAAUUGUACUGCUUUGAACACUACAGAAUGAUCCUAACAUGCACACAACUUAAAGUGACAUAAGCAUCCUUUUGUAAUAUAGAAAAGGCUAUCAAAAAUCAUAACUUGUUAUCUAUUAAUAUAGCAAAAAUAUCUAAUAAAGGUAACUCAAACCCCUUUGUGCA